rnacentral:rRNA from 1 species
AACGAACGCUGGCGGCAUGCCUAACACAUGCCAGUCGAACGAGACCUUCGGGUCUAGUGGCGCACGGGUGCGUAACGCGUGGGAACCUGCCCUUAGGUUCGGAAUAACUCCCCGAAAGGGGUGCUAAUACCGGAUAAUGUCUUCGGACCAAAGAUUUAUCGCCUUUGGAUGGGCCCGCGUUGGAUUAGCUAGUUGGUAGGGUAAAAGCCUACCAAGGCGACGAUCCAUAGCUGGUCUGAGAGGAUGAUCAGCCACACUGGGACUGAGACACGGCCCAGACUCCUACGGGAGGCAGCAGCGGGGAAUAUUGGACAAUGGGCGAAAGCCUGAUCCAGCAAUGCCGCGUGAGUGAUGAAGGCCUUAGGGUUGUAAAGCUCUUUUACCCGGGAUGAUAAUGACAGUACCGGGAGAAUAAGCUCCGGCUAACUCCGUG